GAUGAACGCUGGCGGCGUGCCUAAUACAUGCAAGUCGAGCGAACAGACGAGGAGCUUGCUCCUCUGACGUUAGCGGCGGACGGGUGAGUAACACGUGGAUAACCUACCUAUAAGACUGGGAUAACUUCGGGAAACCGGAGCUAAUACCGGAUAAUAUAUUGAACCGCAUGGUUCAAUAGUGAAAGACGGUUUUGCUGUCACUUAUAGAUGGAUCCGCGCCGCAUUAGCUAGUUGGUAAGGUAACGGCUUACCAAGGCAACGAUGCGUAGCCGACCUGAGAGGGUGAUCGGCCACAUUGGAUCUGAGACACGGUCCAGACUCCUACGGUGGGAAGCAGUAGGGAAUCUUCCGCAAUGGGCGAAAGCCUGACGGAGCAAAGCCGCGUGAGUGAUGAAGGUCUUCGGAUCGUAAAACUCUGUUAUUAGGGAAGAACAAAUGUGUAAGUAACUAUGCACGUCUUGACAGUACCUAAUCAGAAAGCCACGGCUAACUACGUG
rnacentral:rRNA from 1 species